rnacentral:lncRNA from 1 species
CUUUGUUAACACUCAAACUAGGUGAUCUAUAAAUGUUUAAGGUGAUAUUGUUAGAGAUUAUGUGAUUGGUCCACAUUUUUUGACGGUUGAGGGUUUUAUACGACGGUGCUCCAGUUCUUCCAAAAUUGAUUUUUUUCAAGUGAGGCUAUAUAAAAAACCUUGUGUACCAGAAGCAUCCAACAAGGCUUGAUGAUAUGAAAAAUAGAAUAAAAGAAGCUUUUAAUAAUACUGACUUACAAAAAUGUUAGAAAUGUGGCUCGGUCAUUUGAAUAUCAGCAUACAAAAUUGCAUAGACGUUGAAAGUGGUCAUUUUCAACAUUUACUUUAGACUUAUAUCCUUAACAUCACAUUAAUUGGUACAUUCAUUAAAUUUUGUUAUGGUUUAUUAUUUUUUUGUUAGUUAUUUAUUGAAUGAAAAUAUUU